GACGAACGCUGGCGGCGUGCUUAACACAUGCAAGUCGAACGGAAAGGCCUCAGCUUGCUGGGGUACUCGAGUGGCGAACGGGUGAGUAACACGUGGGUGAUCUGCCUUGCACUCUGGGAUAAGCUUGGGAAACUGGGUCUAAUACCGGAUAUGAACUGCCUUUAGUGUGGUGGUUGGAAAGUUUUUUCGGUGCAAGAUGAGCUCGCGGCCUAUCAGCUUGUUGGUGGGGUAAUGGCCUACCAAGGCGUCGACGGGUAGCCGGCCUGAGAGGGUGUACGGCCACAUUGGGACUGAGAUACGGCCCAGACUCCUACGGGAGGCAGCAGUGGGGAAUAUUGCACAAUGGGCGGAAGCCUGAUGCAGCGACGCCGCGUGGGGGAGGACGGCCUUCGGGUUGUAAACUCCUUUCGACAGGGACGAAGCUUUUUGUGACGGUACCUGUAUAAGAAGCACCGGCUAACUACGUG
rnacentral:rRNA from 1 species